UACGUAGGCAGCGAGCGUUGUUCGGAGUUACUGGGCGUAAAGCGUGCGUAGGCGGUGUCUUAAGUUUGUUGUGAAAUCUCCCGGCUUAACCGGGAGGGUGCGGCGAAUACUGAGAUGCUGGAGUGCGGGAGAGGUAAGCGGAAUUCCCGGUGUAGCGGUGAAAUGCGCAGAUAUCGGGAAGAACACCCGUGACGAAGGCGGUUCUCUGGGACGGUACUGACGCUGAGACGCGAAAGCGUGGGGAGCGAACAGG
rnacentral:rRNA from 1 species